GGCGGUUUGAAUCCCGCGCCGCCGAACUCCGGGAGAUGCCGUCGCCGCCUCUCCAGGGCAGGGCGGUUUCAGUCCCUGCCGCCGAACUCCGGAAGACGCCGCCGCCACCGAACUCCAUGACCCAUGGCUGCCACACAUCUUCCUCCACGCACGGCCGCACCCCCACCCCUUUUUCUUCCCUCCCUCCGGCCUUCAUCUCUACCCGUCCCACUCCUCGGCCUUCAAUGGUGAUCCGCUGCCUCCCGCUCCUCGUGCUCCGAUCUGACAACUGAUUCACCGCCGCGCCUCGGAUACGUCGCGGCGACUCGGAUACAGGCGACCGGCGGUGAUCUGAGACCAACGAGUCGGCACCACAUCCCUGAUCUUCAGAACACCGAGUGAAAUAUUGGCUUGGAACGAUCUUGGGUUGGCAGGGCGGCCAGACCAGGUGGCAAAUGUGGUGCACGAGUCAACCUCACAUCAUACUGUGGUGUCUAGGAUGGGCGUGGUGUAACAUGACGCUUUCUAGAAGCAUGUUAUCAAACAUCUCCACAGAAUCACGAGCUUGCCUAAUUCCCAAAGCAUGUUAUCAUAAGGAUGACUAGAAGAUGCUUGGAGGCUAAGGACAAAGAGGAUCUGACGUUCACGUUUUUGGGAGGCAAUAAGUACUUUGUGCACUUUGGCUGUGGAUAUGGGUACACAUUCUUGAUGUCUCGAUGAAUUGGAGAACAGAUGUAAUGGUACGUGCUCUAUGCAAGGACAUGAGAACAAUCCUCCAAAUUGAACUACGUGAUGGGAGAGUAGGUAGGAAACUUUGUUCGUGUACGGGUUGCUUUUCCUGUAUAUAGCGGGCGCUGGAAAUUUCAGUUGCGAUGAUAGCAAGGAUCAAGGAAAAGAGAACAAGGGUGGGGCUUAAACUUCAGUACGGGUGCUUGCCGUGGUUCUGCUAUGCAUGUGGCUACAUCGGGCAUCAGGUCAUGUCUUGUGCGCGUAAGUUCAGGUGGUGAACCUGUAUGCUGACGACUGCGAUGCUUACCACCGAGGAAGUUCGUGCAGCAAGCAGGAAGCACCUUGGACAAAUUUUGGAAAGAGGAGCACGACUCGGAGGUAUGAGCCCCAGCAAGGGCCAUCACAGCUGCGCUGACAAGCAAGUGUAAGUUGGUGAUGGUGCCACCGUGUCAGAGUUCGGAGACUACCCUUGGAAGCACAAAUUGGACAAAGUGCCUUGUGCCACUGGUGUUUCAACACCAGGGAUGUGAUUUUGCUCUAUAGUUUGCAGUACAUUAGACAAUUUUGUAUGCUAUUCAGUAAUUAAUGCUAAAGUUUAUUCCUACAGCUUGUACUUGAACAGGUCCCUGUUUACCGAUGGCGAAAACUCAUCCUUGAUCCAGCUUACUUCUGCAAAUGUUGACCAACAGACAAUUCUCUUCAUGCCUUAUUCAUAACAUCAAAUUUCUCAACCUGAUGGCAUCUGUCAAGGAUCUCUAAAGCCGAUGGAUUAAACUUGUGUUUUUCUCGUGUGUUCAUUAUACAUGGUUAUCUUCGUAGGCUAAUUUCACUUUUGAUGAACUGAUGAUAAAGCGACAAUGGAAUCAGAAGGUGGUACGGCCGGCGGAUGCAUCCAUGUGCUAAUCAUCUGGCACCAAGCGGACGGAGCCGUACGAGUUGGGGCCACCAGCUGGCUGACAGUGCACACAUGGGCGAGCAUGAGCAACAUGGAGCUAGGGAGUAAGCUGGGAGCGGAUGGACGGGGCGUGAGGUAGAACGGGGGUGGGGAGCGGGCGGACCGUGGACAGAAGAGAACAACACCGGAAACAUCCUUUCUAAAGUUUUCUUGGGGCUGUACUGACGAACAACUUGUUCAGUGAUACCAACCCCUUCGAGCUCCCUCAACCCUUCGACAACACUUAUUCAGUUUCUCACCACAAGUAGUAAGAGACAUGAUCAGAUCGCUAACCAGUGAUGAAGGCGUUAUGUGGUCGUUGACGUCAUGCUAAAUGUUGGUGUAGUGCCAAAUAAGAAGAUACGGAACAAAAUCCCUAAGCUAGACAUUAUGCGUGGAUGUAGGUGGAUGUGGGCGCUGUGGCCGCCACCAAGGAUGUAGGGGUCGCGCCCCAAGCUGCAAGUACGUGGUAGGGCGUCAAAACUGACGAGGACACGGGAGCCGCACUGCAGCAUGAGUGUUUUUCAUAAUUUAUUUAGUGGUGAAAUUUUCAGGCCUAUGAACUGGAUGAUAUUUUCAUUGCUGGCAAUCUUCAUCAACCUAUCUAUGAGGACAUUGAUAUACUAAUUGCUGCAUAAGUGUUCUCAGCACCGGCUAGCAAGAAGAGAGUAUGAUUGUUCAAUGCUCACUGUUGUAAGCUUGUUUCACGAGGAGCUUCUCAGUGUUGUACAUGUAGGGUGUGGAUAAUAUAAAUAAAAUCUAUUUGUUCAUUCUUCUACUGUACCUCCGAUUCGUCCCCCACGGUUCAGUAGAGUACAGUUAUGUGCUAAAGUAUUAGGAAGUCAUCAUCUUCUAAAACAUAUUGUUACCUACUCAACCCAGUAAGCAAAUAAAGAGUGUGGUGAACUUAACACCUUUCUAUCUUUAUUUUUUGUUUCUCUUAUUCAUAGCAUCUUUUCCCCAUUUAUAAAUCUAACGGUGGUGAACUUAGACUUUGUGUAAGGAGAGCCAUUCUGUUUUCUUGAACUUAACAACUCCAUAUAUCCUUAUUUAUCCAGAAAGCUUUCAGACGAUACUCACACCAUCUGACUCUUUGAAACAUAUAAAUGUUUUUUCAGAUCUAUUACAA